CAGUGCAAUCAUACCAGCACUAAAGCACCGGACCCCAUUAGAACUUCGAAGUUAAGCGUGCUUGGUCGAGAGUAGUAUUAGGAUGGGUGACCUCCUGGGAAGUCCUUGUGUUGCACUCC